GUUCGGAUAUUACUUUACCAUUGUUCUCGGGUGAUAUUGCAGAUUUAAUAGAAUCGCGAAAGCUUUGGUAGAGCUCGAAGAUAUUCGUUAAAAUGGGUUGUCCAUUUGUUGUAUGAAAUGUGCAGCAAAUCAUUAUAUUCUGCUAAUAAGUAGUACGCUUUAAAAAAAAAUCGGGGCAAGAAGCUUGUUAUUGUUAAAAUAAAUCAGCAAGUUUAAUAGGAACGUUUUGUUGAAAGUCUAUACGUACGAUAUCCUUUUUAAUACACCGUGUUGAUAUCGUGUACCUACCGGCCAAUGCACGGGCCGGCCAAUUUUUUCAACCAUGUAAAGUCUGAUAAGCAAUGUAGUGCGGCGAUCGACUCGCUUUAAGCACCUACCAGCCAUCUUACUUGUGGUAAGGCGUAUCGAGAGCGCACACACUUGCGUGUCAUCCAUGCUACCAUCACAUACAUGCUUCUGUUGCAAAAAGUUUGUGUAUUACGGUUGAUCGAAUGUGGGGUGAUGGAAGGUAUAAAUAAGCUAUAUGCAAAAAAUUCGACUUCAUGUUUCAAGGUAUCAUCACCCAUCUGUCACACGAGAUCGAUCGGACGGGAUUUACGUUGUCAUGCCCAUUGGUUCCAGUAUCUAUUUAAUAUGAGCCGUGAAAUCGUUUGGUGAUUGUGGAGAGGCAUUCACAUCUUUGAGACAUUUAAAUUCCAUUGGCAAAAACGCAACCUUACCCUUCGAACCUGCGCAUUAUAGAAUUACAGCAGAAAUAGACAUUACGGUACUAAUAAACAAUUUUGGCUUGCAACAAGUUCUGUCACCAGUCCCUUGGAGUUCUAAGAGAAGUGGGUAUUAGGGGAACUCUUCGUCGCAUACGACGUAACCAGCGGUGCUUGGAAUGCCCAAUAGCACCGAAAGUGGAUUGUUCGGAUCCAAGAAGACAUCUUUGGGAACACGGCGGUUGUUUUCUGUCGUGUCAUCUGGUUUAGGUAUAUAAUUUACGGCAGCUACGAUAAGAAAGCUAUCGUACCAUUCCGCUCUCUCUACGAAUCGUUCUGACGCUGUCUUCAGAUACUUACGGACCGGAUAUAAAACAAAUCUUCGUGAAGGUCUACAUGUACUGUAAUAUCAAUAUGCGGCGCAAUAUUGGUUAAAAUCUUUCAACCGAUUUUUUAUUUAUUUAUAUUCGUUUCAAUAUCCUCUUAUCAUCGAACGAAUGUGACUAUAACGCAACGAUAAUGGGGAAAUACGAAAUAAUAGUGAUAAUAGACGUGAUAUUAUGUUCUCGUCUGGAACGUUUUACAAUGUUAUAAAUUCGGAAAAUAUAUCUAUGAGUUUUGGUUACAUUAAUAUAAAGGAAUAAAAUUUAAUACACAAUUAUUUCAAACAGUUAUCCAAAUUAACCUCAUGCUUACCAUCUAAGACUCAAUAGCCGUCACUAAAUUCAAGAGUUAUGAAAACGACAAGUUAGUAUUCUGUAAAAAAAAAGUUUACAAGUAGGUAAUAAAUAGCUUAAGUUUUCAAUCGCCUGUUUUGAUUAGGCGAUACUAAGCGCAUCUGUAAUAUUAAUUAGACACGCCGAUUGAAAAUACAAUUUAAAUUCGGGUCAUGUUCAGAGCACAACCAUUUAUCACGAGGGCCACACGUCAAAUAUCAUCUGCAAAAAGAUGCGACUAAAUGAACAAAUUUAGAUUCCAAUGCGCGUGAUCGAUUGACCUACACAUAUCGAAGUCUAUAGAUCAUCUCGGCAUUGAAAAUAAUAUUAUUGUGCGUGAGUAAGACAAAAUAUAAUUAAUGUUCUUCUUAAUUCGAAUUGGUCCGGCGUAGACAUGUUGGCGUCGUUCCGUCGCAAUAAACAAAAGAUUAAAAACUUUUUCAUAAUACACGUGUUUUUAUACGUUCACGUAAAAUGUUUGUAGAAACGUGCUAUUAAUCAUUCGAUGAAUGUAUUGUUGCAUCUGUCGUGUCGGCUUGUAUAGCUCUUGAGAGCCUUGCUAUUGUUGCUGAAAAUGCAUACGUUUUGAUAACUGCAAAAAACGGCCAUUGCGCCACCUGUGCUCAAAGAUAACGGACAGAUCCUAUUGAAUAAAAACGAAUAUAAAAUACAUUAGUGAAUUUAGAAUUAUUAGAUUUUUUGGAGAUAAAAAGUUUGAAUAAUGAAUAGUUCAUCCGAUGAAUAGUGAGUUAAUGAAAUGAAUACAUGGUUAGUUUUGUGUAGCUUUGUUUCAAAAUAAUCGCUUUCUGAACUUUAUGCGUACCUACUGCGUUAUAGAUCUUUACCUUUCCUACAUUUAACAAUUAAAACUGGAAUUUUGUCAAAGAAUGCCACGGAGGUUUAGACUUGCAAACUAAUCUACAGAUAUAAUCUACGGAGUUUCUCGCCGGAUCUUCCCGCUGGGUGGUAGAUUCAAGAAGCACUGCUCUUGCUGUUGAGAUGUUCGCAGUCUCUUAGGUUAAAUCCUGUGCGUAGCUAGAAUAGCCCCUUAGCCUGCCAGCGAUUAAGUAGGGGAAAAAACUGUAAAAGAAAUGUGCUAGUAGUAAGCACAUUUAACAUAUCUGAAAGAGAAAUAGAUAUACAAUCUUUGUUUAUAAACUGAUAGAUCUGUCUAUCAGUCUGUAGGCUCAAAACUCUACUGAUACUGUUGAUUCUUAAAACUAUUAAUUUCUUAUAUUCUUCACUCUUUGUGUAGGUAUCUCACGAAAAACUUAACAUAUUAUAAAUUUUGAUGAAGCUUCUUAUAUUAAAACAUUACUUUUACGAUUUAAAGGUAUGUAUACAAAUAUGUAAAUUCCAAGUAAUCGCUGUGGUCGCAGACGGUUUUGACAGAUGACGAGCUCGACGUGGAGUGAUCAGUCACGGUCAGUGCGGCUCACGCGUCAGGCGCCGAUUUCUGCUCUACACAGCUUCGUGGGAAAAUCAUAAAUAUCUAAAUAGCUUUCUUUUAAUAGUAUCGGAAUACACAUCAUUUCUCCAUUCCGGGCCACUAAACUCGAUAGCGGGUUAACACGUCAGAAAAAAAGAAACAAACGAAUGUGCGACCAGUUUUUUCGUCUGACAACACCGAACAUUUCGUUUUUUAUAUGCGUAUCAUUUUGAAAAUUAAAUUAUAGGUUAUAAUUUUAAUAUGAUAGGUGCGUAAUAUAUUUUGGAAUGUUAAGAUUCUUAUCUUUUAAAAGCAUUUAUUCAUUUAAUAGUUUGCCGUUAAUGCUUAUGCAAUUUGAUAAUAAAUAAUUUGUUUUUUUGUUUUAAAUUAAAACGCAUACAUAAGACCAAAGGCCACAAAAUGCAAUUGCUUUAAUGUUUGUAGUAAGAGUAUACAAAUGUAUGGGAUUAACAUAAGCUUACGUAAAAUAAGGCUUCUAGAUUGCGCACUGAUGAGGCUUUCUUUUUAAUUACUCUAUUACUCUCAUAGGCCAGUGAGCGGUAUCAUGAGUUAGUGACUGCUUCGGUAAUAAAUCCAAAAAGUAAUAUUUUUACGUAGGUUUGAAUGUUAAUUUGUUCUGACUCAAGUUCAUGAUCUCGCUGUUAUUGUUUUGAAGAUAUAGUUAUGAUAGCCCGAUUCUCUCGAGCUUAUGCUGAUCGCCCAUAAUUUAUACUAGUUUUGAUGUUAUUUUUCCAUUCAAUAUUGUGACAGGAAGAUAUAUUUUUAAAAGGUUUAAACUUAAAAUUAAGAAAACAGUAACAUAUUAUCUUUGGUUUGUCCAUGACAUGUCCAUGACAUAAUUAAAUUACUUUUAUGGAAUA